UCUCCUUCUUUCUCCUCUUUCUCGUUUCCUCCUGGAGUAGUAAUGAAGCUCCGUAGUUGUUGGAGCUUAAGCGUGGACCGAGAGGUGUGUGUAACUCAGGGAGAGUUGCUGCCAAGUGCAGUAGAGGAGAAUUUGGUAGUGUUUUCUCACUUAUUACUUGAGGUACGUAGGUGAUGAAUUUGUUUUUUAGUGGUUGAGGAUUUUGAUUGGAUUUUUGUGGGAUUUGGAUUUAAUAGUGGGAUUUAUGUAUGAUUUUAGAAGUUGGAUUUUUGGAGUUUUGCCAUGGGGUUUUCCUGUUGGAUUCCCUGUCGGUGUUGGGUGCCGUGCGGUUAAGGAGA
rnacentral:lncRNA from 1 species